UUUCAAUCCCACCACACGGAUAUUACUGCGUCUGCUCUGGUUCUCCAUCUGGUCUACUUUGUUUUUGAGGCCAUUGUAGACACAGGCAAGAUAAUGAAGACUCUCCUUAAACAGGUGGAGGCCUUUAGGCCCAAGAGGAUCAAAGCAGCAGGCCCCUCGCAGAACCGUUGGAAGUAGAACUGGCAGCCGUUGGCGGUAGAACUGGACAGGCAGGGCAGCAUUGUGAAAGUCCCUUGGCCAGGAUGACCUCCUUGACAAAAGCCACCAAUCCCAGGAACAGGUGGUCCCUUCUGUUGGGAAGGAAUGAAAGGGACAUUUGUCUGGGCCCUGAGAAAAACAGCACUUUUAAGUCCCUCCUUUCAGGUUUGUGUGUGAGUCCAAGUGUGUGAGUAUGAGCGUGUGUAAAAUUGAACAAAUUAUAACACAGACCAUGUCAUUUUAAUUCUCCCCCAAACAUAUCUAAGUAUUAAAGGUUAAACUAGCACCUACAUCAAAGUACUCUGAAAAAGCAAAAUUGUAGAACCUACAUGCUGUAAUUCCAGUAUAGUUCAGUCGGAGACCCCAACCAAAGAGGGUAAUAAUGAUUGUAUUGGAUGGUGGGAACUGUGCAUGCCUCUCUCUCAUACAGUGGGAAUACACAUUCCACAGCCACUACCAUCCACAUGCCAAUCCCUUCUCGACCCCACUGAACCAGCCACCACGUGACUAUUGUAAUCUGGCCAAGCAGUUGUAUAUGUAUGAGUGUUUGUAUAGGUGUUUGUGUGACAUACAUUUUUUGUAUUGGUCCCCCG
rnacentral:lncRNA from 1 species